UACAGAGGGUGCAAGCGUUGUUCGGAAUUAUUGGGCGUAAAGCGCGUGUAGGCGGCUUUGCAAGUCGGGUGUGAAAGCCCUCAGCUCAACUGAGGAAGUGCGCCCGAAACUGCAGAGCUUGAGUGCCGGAGAGGGUCGCGGAAUUCCCGGUGUAGAGGUGAAAUUCGUAGAUAUCGGGAGGAACACCAGUGGCGAAGGCGGCGA
rnacentral:rRNA from 1 species